GUUAGAAUUCUGUCCUCUGCCUUUCUGGAAACUCGGAGGCCUCGGCCUUGCGGGUCGGGAUGCGCGUGUUUGUGGUCCGGAGUGUAGACUUUCGGGAAGGACAGCCAUGAGGCUGCAUGUGUUCGGUGCGUGGAUACACCAUGAAUUUUCCUGAUAGUUGGCAGGCGUGGAAUAUUCUUGUGUUCACUCGAGCCCCUGACUUCAGGCCCUUCUAGAGCGGCUGGCAGCCCCGUCUCAUCCCUCCGUUCCCCCACCACUUGGCGUCCUGGCUACUGGAGCUGUUUAGUCGCUGGAGAAAACCCUGAAGAAACGUGUGUUUGUCUGCGGUGGCUGGGCGGGGCUCUGAGGAGGUAGGGACUGCAUUUGCUCUGCUGCUUGUCAUAGGGUGUCGCAGGCCUCUUUUGCAUACUGGCAGUGACAAGUUGAGGCUUGUUCAUUUGACACAGUCCUGUGGUCACAGCGAAUCUCUCUAAAGCUCUAACCAGUGGAGAAGGGGGUUGUAUGGAUCCUCUGAACUCUGAGUGGGACUUCCUGAAAGAUUUAUUAGGAGAAAAACCUUCCUGGAAACAGCAGAAGAACAGACACAGAAUCGCUGGCUGGGCAGAGCCUCGUGGCCUGGUCUCCACUAUUUGGGAGCUGUUACAUCUUGGAGAUGGGGGACCCACAGCUCAGAGAGAUUAAAAAUAUCCCCACCCUCACCGCCAGGUCACACAGCUAAGGAGUGGCAGAGCCACUGGGUUUUGGACCUGGGCCAUCUGACUCCCUGGACCUACUCCUAGAAGUUAGAGGACAGUGAAACUAAAAGCAAGCAAAGAAUGCUUCUCGGCCUGGGGCAGGAGGAUCAAGUGUGCUCUCCAGUCUGCCCUCCUCACCCUGGCACAGAUGGAAACCCCAAACCUUGUGUGAAGACACUGCCUGCUCUGGCUGCCGGCCUGUUCCACUAACACUGGGGUCAAGAAGCCAUGGGAGGGGGGCUCCAGUGUUUGGAAAAUUCUGGACGGGGGACGGGGGUCUGGGGAGCGGGGCCUCUGGGGCCCGCGCAGAGCCUCAGUCUUGGUGUGAAAUCUAUGGGCAUUUGCAAAACGCUACAUCCAGGCGUCCUGCCUGGCUUUGUGACCAGCGUAUAAUCACUGUGAACAUUCAGAGCAGAUGGGAGACAGAGCUCUUUCUGCAAAUCAUCACAUACCCUCCCCCUCAUCCCCUGCCCCCGCCCCCCAAACUAUCUGAGUACCUGUCUCUCUCCUGGGUGUGUUUUGCUCCUGUAGCAGCCCUAACAAUACAAAGAUUGUGGUGGCCCCUCUCCCAACCCUGUCAUUAAAAACAAAAACAGUGCCAGCCCAUAAACACAAGAUUCACAUACACGAGGCCAAAAUGGUCUCAGUCAUUUUUUAAUUCCAGAAUUCUGAAUGUUUUUCUUCGAUUUUCUCUUCCUCUUUUUUCUGAGGGGGGCAGGCAGGGGUAUGGGGUGUUGUUUUGCUGGUGCCUGGUGGGUAAUCUGAGCCCCAGGGU